GAAAUGCGAUAAGUAAUGUGAAUUGCAGAAUUCAGUGAAUCAUCGAAUCUUUGAACGCACCUUGCGCUCCUUGGUAUUCCUUGGAGCAUGCCUGUUUGAGUAUCAUGAAAUCUUCAAAGUAAAUCUUUUGUUAAAUCAAUUGGUUUCUACUUUGGUAUUGGAGGUCUUUGCAGCUUCACACCUGCUCCUCUUUGUUCAUUAGCUGGAUCUCAGUGUUAUGCUUGGUUCCACUCGGCGUGAUAAGUUAUCUAUCGCUGAGGACACUGUAAAAGGUGGCCAAGGUAAAUGCAGAUGAACCGCUUCUAAUAGUCCAUUGACUUGGACAAUACUUUUAUGAUCUGAUCUCAAAUCAGGUAGGACUACCCGCUGAACUUAAGC
rnacentral:misc_RNA from 1 species